GCUCACGUGGUGGAAUUGGUAGACACGCUAUCUUGAGGGGGUAGUGGCGAGAGCUGUACGAGUUCGAGUCUCGUCGUGAGCACCA
rnacentral:tRNA from 1 species